rnacentral:rRNA from 1 species
CGAUGAACCUCCUUCGGGAGGGGAUUAGUGGCGAACGGGUGAGUAACACGUGGGCAAUCUGCCCUGCACUCUGGGACAAGCCCUGGAAACGGGGUCUAAUACCGGAUACGACAACCGGCCGCAUGUCCUGUGUGUGGAAAGCUCCGGCGGUGCAGGAUGAGCCCGCGGCCUAUCAGCUUGUUGGUGAGGUAACGGCUCACCAAGGCGACGACGGGUAGCCGGCCUGAGAGGGCGACCGGCCACACUGGGACUGAGACACGGCCCAGACUCCUACGGGAGGCAGCAGUGGGGAAUAUUGCACAAUGGGCGCAAGCCUGAUGCAGCGACGCCGCGUGAGGGGAUGACGGCCUUCGGGGUUGUAAACCUCUUUCAGCAGGGAAGAAAGCGCAAGUGACGGUACCUGCAGAAGAAGCGGCCGGCUAACUACGUGCCAGCAGCCGCGGGUAAAUACGUAGGGCCGCAAGCGUUGUUCCGGAAUUAAUUGGGGCGGUAAAGAAGCCUCGUAGGCGGGCUUGUCGCCGUCGGG